rnacentral:misc_RNA from 1 species
GCGGUCGAGGGUUCCAUUUCCGCUCGGGACAGAUAUUUAUAUUUUGAUGAAUAUUUAUUUCUGGUCUAGGUGUGACUUUAUGGGUCUGCCCCAUUGAUUUAUAAAAAUAAAUAUAAAUCAAUGGUCUGCCCACCGAACCUCGAAGAGUAGGUAAAGCUGCCGGCCCAGGUUUUUAUCAUAGACACCUUAUAGCAAUGGUUACUCGUCGUAAGGAACGAAUUCUCGCAGAAUAAAUAAACGAAGCGUGAACACUCA